GGUAUUUUGACUAUACGAAGGUACUGAAAUAAGGCUUUAAUUGAGUGCUAAGAGAAUGGUUAAACAGGGACUAACUUUCUUUAAAUUUAUGAUGGAAGUUGAUUUAAAAAUGAAAAAGUUUUUAUUAAUUUUUGGGACAAGAAGACCCUAUGAAUUUUUUUUAAAAAGUUAUUUAUUAUUUUUAAAAAGGAAAAUGAAGUAUUUUUUUAAAUUGGUUGGGGUGAUUUUUAAAGAAUAGUUAUCUUUAAAAAAGGUUGGAAUUAGAACCAUAUUUUGUGGCUAUUUAAAUUAAAUACUCUAGGGUUAACAGCGUAAUUAUUUUGGAUAGUUCAUAUAGAUAAGAUAGUUUGCGACCUCGAUGUUGGAUUAAGAUACUUAUAUAGUGAAGAAGUUAUAUCAAGGAGUUUGCUCAACUUUUAAAAUCUU
rnacentral:rRNA from 1 species